rnacentral:pre_miRNA from 1 species
AGGUAGUUUCAUGUUGUUGGGAUUGCUUUUUCUUAACGCGGCAACAAGAAACUGCCUUA